rnacentral:rRNA from 1 species
GUCUUUUUGAUUUUAAUAUAAAGUCYGGCCUGCCCUAUGAGUAAUUAAAUGGCUGCGGUAUUUUGACCGUGCAAAGGUAGCAUAAUCAUUAGUUUCUUAAUUAGAAGCUGGAAUGAAAGGCUUGAUAAAAAAAAUACUGUCUCUAUUUUAAUUUUUUGAAUUUUAUUUAUAAGUUAAAAAGCUUAUAUUAAGUUAAAAGACGAGAAGACCCUAUAGAUUUUUAUUUGUUUUUAUAUUUUGAGUUUUAAGAAUUAAUUGUUUUAAAUAUUAAGAUAAAUUUGAUUGGGGAGAUUUAAAAAUUUAUUUAACUUUUUAAAAAUUUUACAUUAAUAAAUGAUUUAUUGAUCCAUUUAGUGAUUACAAGAAUAAAUUACCUUAGGGAUAACAGCGUAAUUUUUUUGGAGAGUUCUUAUCAAUAAAAAAGAUUGCGACCUCGAUGUUGGAUUAAAGUUAAAUUUGGUGUAGAAGCUAAAUUGUUUGGWCUGUUCGACCAUUAAAAUUUUACA